ensembl:lncRNA
GCACUUACAGUGGGGUCACUGCCCUUAAGCACACUGCAGCAAGCGCUGCCGCUACUUUUUCUUUAAAAAUAAGACAGCUGUCCUGUCCUUGGAGCAGAUACUUUGCUCCGCUAAGAAUGCCCCCUUAGCUGACUUCCUGCGCGGUGGUAUUCGGAGCUCGUCGCCUUGGGGUCAGAUCCCAUGUAGUCGCUCCCAGGAGCAUGAUUCAAGUUCUGGCCUUGGAUCCUAUGGCAUCUGCACACCCCAUCCUUGAGAGGCUUUCGAACUGAAACGCUCAUGAGGUUUGCGGUGGCUGGAGAGCGGCCGCGGAACCAGUGUGCGGGCGCCGCGGUCCAGGUGGCGGCGAGAUCUCAGCGAAAACGUAGCGGGGGCGCGGAGCCACGGGCAGCAGCGGCGUCAGCGCGGCCAGAGGUAGCAGUACACGUGGAGAGGAGGAAACUUUGCGUGCCCGGGAGGACAGCAUCGGCCGAGGAGCUCACCCGGCGGUGGCCGCGAGGCUGGGCUGCGCCGCGGGGCUGGGAAGGGACUACCGCUGGCCCUCCACGGGACGCGCUCCCAGCCCCC